rnacentral:rRNA from 1 species
GUGAGGAAUUUUCCGCAAUGGGCGAAAGCCUGACGGAGCAAUGCCACGUGAAGGAUGAAGGCCUAUGGGUUGUAAACUUCUUUUCUCAGAAAAGAAUUAUGACGGUAUCUGAGGAAUAAGCAUCGGCUAACUCUGUGCCAGCAGCCGCGGUAAGACAGAGGAUGCAAGCGUUAUCCGGAAUGAUUGGGCGUAAAGCGUCUGUAGGUUGUUUAAAAAGUAUUCUGUCAAAGAUUAGGGCUUAACCCUAGAUAGGCAGAAUAAACUUUUAAGAUAGAGUUUGGUAGAGGCAGAGGGAAUUCCCGGUGGAGCGGUGAAAUGCGUAGAUAUCGGGAGGAACACCAAAGGCGAAGGCACUCUGCUGGGCCAAUACUAACACUGAGAGACGAAAGCGAGGGGAGCAAAUGGGAUUAGAAACCCUGGUAGUCC